ACAGUAAUCAAAAUAAUGGACCUACUAUGUGUAGUACUCAGAGAGCAUGAAACAGCAGAAGUGUGGCACAUGAAACGCUCAUCAGUGGAAGUUAAAGUCCAUCAUUGCUGUCACACCUGCUCCGUGUCACAGAUUGAUGCCAAGACUGAAGACAAAAUGCUGUGGACAUACUCUGAAGGAAUGGACGGUUUGCUAUGGCAAUUCCAGAAAGUCCUAAAUGUCGGGGUCCAGCCCUAGCAGGAGUCCAUGGGUUCCACACCGGUAAACGGGGUGUGCAGAGACAGCAUCGGCGAUGGAUGGAGAAUGAAAGACACAGACUCU